UCUUCUUUUUUGUUAACUAGCAGGAAUGCUAAUUUACUGAUAACGAGAAUGGUAUUCCUUUGUAAACCAAAUGGGGAUUAAUGUUCUUUCUUCUGAGUCUGUAAGCUUUUGUUGACGGGCUUUUGGGCAGAUCGGCGCGAGGGGGUCGAGAGAGAGGACGCAAUGCUGUAAGCUGGGCGAGGAUCGGACCCCAAAGGGGGGUCCGAGGCCGGGAGAUUCUCCGAGGGGGGGGGAUGAAGCUAGAUGUGCUUGGUUGACCACUCGGAGGGUCCUGAGCUGUUUGGAGAGUCGAGGAGUUCGGAGGGGAUCGAAUGGUGGCCAGAAGACUUCAGAAAUUGAGCUCCAACGGCUGUGCACGAAGUGGUUUGGACUUUGAUAAGUUUGGCGCCUUUUCUUUAAUUUUCUCUUCAUAUAUACUGUAUCGUUAUUAAUCACUUAGUUAUAGUAACCUUUAUAAAUUGUACUCAUUUAAUCGCAUAUGGUGUACUGUCUGUUUUUGGGUGAGGCGGGGACAUCACACAGCAUCCACACCAGCAGAUUACCCAGUUUGGCGGGGCCGAAGGCUGCUCCCCCUAGACGAGAACGAGCUGAGCGAGCCUGAGGCGACCUAGGGGGUUACAUUGUGGGGUGCUCGUCCGGGGUUGAUUUCUGUGGAAGCUGUGUGAUCACCCUCUUUAAAUUGUGUCUGCGGCGAAGAGCUGGUGUGCCUUUGUGGGUGUGCGAUUGCUGGUUAUCGCUGUGUGUGUGUUGGGUGGGGUGGCUGCUGUUGGCUGACGAAAUGGUGGUGGGACCAUGGGUUGUCCGUACUGUUUGGAGAUUGAGGAGUGACAGGUUGGGAUGUUUCAGCAGUGGUGAGCUCCGCCCGGUUAUUGGAAUAAUGUCCAGCCCUAAAGGGGUGGAGGCGUGGGCGGAGCGGACCCCUCAGUUGUUGGGUGAGUGGCAGUGCUUGGCUGAGGAAAAGCGACAGGGACGGGUUGAAAGUUUGAGUAGGCGGGCUGGUGACUUUGUUAGAACUGUCGGGCGCAAUUACCUCGAAGUGACCCUGCCAGUUCUGGGAAAGUGUGGGAAAAUGCGUGUGGUUUGACUGGAAGUCAAAUGCCGCAGCUGGGGGGCUUAUCAUAUCCGUGGCAGGAGAUUGGUGGGAAGUUUUUAGGGUAUCCCUUUUUGCCUAGGGGGGGCAGAUAAAUUGCUUGUGGUGCCAAGGGGAUCUGUCAAGGGGAUCAGUUGUUCCGUUGAUUCGAAAGGUGUCGGGAAACUUAGAGGAGGCCCAGUGGGGGAACGGCUUGGGGUCUCUGGGGGAGCACGUUCCCAGCAAUGUACCAAGGAACUCCCGAAAGGAACAGACCCUAUUCCUGAAGGCUUAGAGGGGCCAUGCGCACAGGUGUUGUUACGGAUGGAUGGAAGUCAAGUUAAAGCCAUCCUCGGCACCGGGGCGCCGGUGAAGUUGCUGUACAGUUUGUUUCAUAACCGUUAUUGGAAGCAUUUACCCUUGACAACAUUGAGGACACUGGAGAUUCGGGGUACCCGUGUCGGUGAUUAUCCAGACAACGGUUGUUGGUCAGUGAAAAUGGAGUUCUUAGAUGCAAAUGUGGAGGAGACUGAGGUUCAUGAAUCGUUAAUGCUGAUGUGUCCGGACCCUGUUGAGACGGGCAGCGUUUCUGUUCUAGAGAGAACCAAAAUCCUGCUGGUGCGCUUGGGAGCCUGCCCGGAGGAGACGGAUGCGAAGAGUUUUGUGUUGGGGCACGUUCCUCAGUCCACUUCACCAUUCUCCGCAGCCAGCACCAUCACUGUGUGUUGUUCCCCGGUGGCGUCGCUCCAGAGGAUUUUUGGCCAAUGCACUUUCUGUUGUGCUGACAACAUGGAGGACUGCCUCUUGUCCCUCAGCAAGGAGCUGAGCAACUUGGGACUGCCGUCUUUGUACACCGGCGAUAGUUUUGAGGAGAGUCCUGCUACAGACUUUAGCCUUGUCACCCUGAUAAACUGUACAUACUACCUGCUGCAGCUCCAUUGGAGGGACGUGGCCAGAAUUGAUGAACUAGAAUCGGUUCGGCUUAAAUCCUUCGACGAUCAGGACCGCUUGAGAAAAAGCCAACUAAAGCUACAAGAGCAGAUAGAAGCACUUGAGAGGGAACUUGCUGCGGUACAGGCAAAAGAACAACAAGCCCAGAGAAAUGUCCAUAAUCUUAACAACCUCCUCAAGUGCAAUAAGGAAGAGGUGGCGAAACUGCAGAAUGUCAUCGCGAGCCGGGCUGCUCAACACGUCCAUGACUUGAAGAGGAAGGAACAGGAGCUAACUAAACUGAAGGAGAAGAUGCAUCUCCACCUGACAGAUAAAAGGGACAGAAGGAUGGCUAUAGAUAUCCUGAAUCAGAUUGGGCGAUCUGAUGGAAGACGCUCGUUGUGGAGAACGGGGAAGACUGAAUCAAGAAGGGAAGGGGAGAUGUACAAGGUUCUUGCCAGUAACUACGAGACACAACUCCAGCAGCUGGCACUGGACAAUGCAGAGCUGAAAAAGGCUCUGAGCCACAUGAAGAAGGAGAUGAGUGACCUUCUGAGUGCCCAGGAGGAGCUCUGCAGACCCAGUUCCCUCCAGUCCCUGCUGGAGGAAGACGUGGGCCUCAAUGAAACGCAGGAUGUGGACCGGAAACAUUUUACUGAUGGCCUUCUGAAGCAGUGGGACUUGUUAAAGGAUCACUUGGAAACACGAGGAAUCGCCGUGCACGAGUGUGAGGGAGAAUGGAAAAUAUUGUCACCCCAGAUCCAAUGUGGCAGACAAACCAAUAAGCAUAAAAAAUCCGAGGCAGCACACACAAAAGCUGGAGGAGCUCAGCAGCUGCCCGGGAAUCGCCGGUUGCCGGGGAGGGUGAGCACGUCGUCAGUGUUACUGACCAUGAAAAGGAGAUGGCGAAGCUGAAGCUGGAGCUCGAGGAGUGCAGACAGAUCAUUCAGCAACAGCAGCAGGUUCUCCAGGACCAGCUGACCAUCAAGAAGGAAGAUCUGGCCCAUGGCCCGGAUUUGCUAGAAGAAAUGGAGUGGUUUAACAAGGAACGGCUGCUGUUCGAGGAGCAGAAGGAGAAUUUUAAGAUGGAGCGGGAAAAGUUCACAG